rnacentral:rRNA from 1 species
AUACGGAGGGUGCAAGCGUUACUCGGAAUCACUGGGCGUAAAGCGCGCGCAGGCGGCUUGAUAAGUUGGAUGUGAAAGCCUACGGCUCAACCGUAGAACUGCAUCCAAAACUGUCAGGCUAGAGUGUGGGAGAGGAAGAUGGAAUUAGUUGUGUAGGGGUAAAAUCCGUAGAGAUAACUAGGAAUACCAAAAGCGAAGGCAAUCUUCUGGAACACUACUGACGCUGAGGCGCGAAGGCGUGGGGAGCAAACAGGAUUAGAAACCCGAGUAGUCCC